UACGUAGGUGGCAAGCGUUGUCCGGAAUUAUUGGGCGUAAAGCGCGCGCAGGCGGUCCUUUAAGUCUGAUGUGAAAGCCCACGGCUCAACCGUGGAGGGUCAUUGGAAACUGCUAGACUUGAGCACUCAAGAGGGACAUAGAAUUCCGGGUGGAGUGGUGAAAUGCGUAGAUAUCCGGAGGAAUACCAAAGGCGAAGGCAGUGUCCUGGGGAGUGUCUGACGCUCAGGCGCGAAAGCUAGGGGAGCGAACAGG
rnacentral:rRNA from 1 species